ACAGCCAUAUUACACUGAAACACCAGUUCUUGUCCAAUCACCAAAGUUAAGCAACCUUGUGCUUGGUCAGUACUUAAAUGGGCGACUGCUUAUGAAUAUCAGGUGGUGCAA